rnacentral:rRNA from 1 species
AUGGGACCUCCGGCCGUCGUGGGGUUCGAGAGCAAGGAGGCCGCGGUGCACGCGCUGCUUGUGGCGUCCAUGAAGAACGUCAGCCUCCUCGGCGUCUACAGGGAGAAGGCGACCAGUCCGAUCGAGGCCGCUGCGAUGCCGCCAUCAGACGUGGCCGCGGCGCCAGAGGGAGCGACGAGUACGACGGCGGAGACCGCGGCCGCCACGGCCGAGAACAAGACCAGCCAGAACAAGGCAGCGUCGGUGCACAUAGACCAGGAGGCGACCAGCUCGCUCCUGGACACUCUCCUCGCCCUGGACGAAAACCUCGACACCUUGGAUAGCCUGCUCACCCAGCACAUCUCCAAGGUGGAGGAGGAGGAGGGCGAGUCGGCCUUGUACUGGCCGGGCGACAACUACUACGACUCCUGGAUCCCUUUCGAAAAAAAACUACGACGCCUGGUUUGCCGGCUACAAGGCUGGAGUGAAGGAUUCUCCACUUGGUUGAAUUUACAGAAACUCAAAGCUGUAUCUAGGAACUGGUGA